rnacentral:rRNA from 1 species
AAUCAACGCUGGCGGCGUGCCUCAGACAUGCAAGUCGAACGAUUAAGACUUCCUUCGGGAAGUGCAUAAAGUGGCGCACGGGUGAGUAACACGUAAGUAAUCUACCUUUGAGUGGGGAAUAACCCGGGGAAACCCGAGCUAAUACCGCAUAAUGCAGCGGCAUCGCGAGAUGACAGUUGUUAAAGGAGCAAUCCGCUUAAAGAGGAGCUUGCGGCAGAUUAGCUAGUUGGUAAGGUAAUGGCUUACCAAGGCUACGAUCUGUAUCCGGUCUAAGAGGACGGUCGGACACACUGACACUGAAGAACGGGGCAGACUCCUACGGGAGGCAGCAGUCGGGAAUAUGGGGCAAUGGGCGAAAGCCUGACCCAGCAACGCCGCGUGAAGGAUGAAGUAUUUCGGUAUGUAAACUUCGAAAGAAUAGGAAGAAUAAAUGACGGUACUAUUUAUAAGCUCCGGCUAACUACGUGCCAGCAGCCGCCGUAAUAC